CGUCGGGCUCCCGGUGCAUGGAGCCUGCUUCUCCCUCUGCCUGUGUCUCNGUUUUUCCUAUUCAUGACUCAUUUUGCUCUUUGGCUAACACUCAGGCAAAUGUAGUGACAACUUAGUUUUCUUCUUCCUCUGAAAGCUUGUACACAUUUUCUGCCUCGGGUUGUGUCCACGAGGAUGCCUGGAGAAUGUUGACAAAGGAAAGGUUAGACUAGCCUGUUGAUGCUGCGUAUUUGGGCUUUAAAAAUCAAAAAGGUUCCUUGGCUUCCUCGGAGAAGCAUUCUGCUUGAUGGCCCAGAAUACUGAUCCAGUAAAAAAGACAUGUUCCAGCCAUCCUUCACACACACCUUAAGUGAAAUUAAUGAGAUCACUCUACAAUUACGCUUUGUGUUUUAUUUUCACUUUCCAGGUCUGUAUGAGCUGUUGGCUCUUGUGCCAGGCCAGCUAGGGCCACGUGUGGACAGCCAGGAAGACCUGACCUUCCUCUUGGAUAUGUUUGGUGAGAAAAGCCUGCAUUCACUGGUAAAGUGCUGACAGGCUGUACAAUGCAGAGAACAGGCAUGUGCGACUCUUCUGCUCUGAUACGGUGCUGAUCCAAAUUGUAUGGACAACAAGGGCAACAACGCUCUCCAUUAUGUGGCCUUUGAGGAUAAUUAAUGUCUCAAUAGGGAAGCUGCUUUUUACACAAAGGCGAUGCAGAGGCAAAAUGCAAGGGCGAAUUAGAAACUUCACUCAAGUCCUGGGCUCUCGCUCCGAACGGACUUCUUGCCACUCAACCCUCACCUGCUACAUUCCAACCAUUUCUACUUUGCACAUGAUGAUUGCUUCUACUCCAAACAUUCUCACUGUGGGUUUUUCCUUCCCCCGCGAUGGCACUCCCUCCUAGUCUGCCUGGCUGCUCCAAGUCAACAUUUCAGUUUUAAUGGAACCAUCUCUUCUGGGAAGGCAUAGCUCUUGUCUUAGAGCUUUUUGUGCUCUUUGAGUCAGCAUUAGAUUAGAUUAAAUUAGAUUUUCUUGCAAUUUCCUCUUGUACCCCAUAUUUCCCUAGUUUUAACAUUGUAUUUCAUUUAACUACUUAUUAAUUGUCUGUACUUCCAAAUAGAUUGUGAACUCUAUGAGGGCAGUUGGCUAUAUUUUCUCUUGGCUACUGUGUCAAAGUAAUCAACACAGUGCUCACAGUGCUUAGUGACUUCAAAUAAAUAUUUGCUAAAUAAAAUGUGAAAAAUUGAC
rnacentral:lncRNA from 1 species